rnacentral:lncRNA from 1 species
GCAAUUAUUAGCAUAAUCACUAAAUUAACUGACGAAAUAUAGCUAAAAGAAUUAUCUAAGCAAACAAUAGAAGAAGACUGGCUUAUUUUUCUGUUCAAUCUCGACUCAAACUUUAAGUCUUUGAACAAAAGCCAAACUAUAGCUUCUUCUCCAGUGCUUAAGAUUUGCUAAACGAACUCGGUUGCACAUUAGAAUAUUACUUAUAAAGUGUCGAAAAUAGGUUAAGAACUACAAAAAUGCCUUAAAGCACCACUAAAGUAAACAAAAGAUGCACCCAAAACAAUCUAAUGUGUGUGGCCACUUGCAGUAACUAAUAGGCUAAUAACUCUUACAUGCCACUAUAACAUUCCUCUGAUAAGAGCAUCAAUAAUUACAACGAACACUGCAAAUACGCAUACAAAUACUAAGACUCCAUUUCACUGGGCUUUACUGUCUCACAUCAAGAAUUAAAGUUCACCAUUCCUCCCUUGACGAUCAUACGCUUGUCAUGGACUAGUAAGGCUUUGAUUUUAUCACUCGAGAUAGAAUCUGAUCUCAAAUCUACACCAAUUGAAAUGUUUUGAUGUUUCCAAAUUGCUCUUGCCCUCUUAAUUUAGGCCCUUAGGGAUGGGCGCCGGCAGGGCAGCACUCCCCGUCCCUGUCCCUGGUGGAAAUUUCCUGUCCCAGCCCGCUUAAGAGAGACGGGCCCACGGGGAUCACCCAUACCCCGCCGACUGUUCCAGUUAACCUUUUUUAAUUCUUUUUACAGCAAUAGCUCCACAAAUCCCCAAAACUGAAACUAAACUCAUUUUAACGUCAGAAAUUUCAAUUCUAAUCCUCUACAUACACAAACCCUAGAAAUAAAAAUACCCUUCGGACAAAAAAAAAAAAAAAAAAAAAACUCAAAGAAGCAGGAACAAAAAAGAAGAAGGAAGAAAUAGCUCCAGUCACUGUUUAAAAAAAAGGAACUUAGAACUCACACAUUUAACAUUUUUUUACCUUUUAAACUGGAGAGGAGACUAUGGGAGCAAGAGAUUCUGUGGGGAACGUGGUGAAAGAGUGAGAGUUGAACCACCGAUGGAGGACACAAGCACGGUGGAGACCCAGUAGACGGACUGAAGAUUGGAAUUGGAAUUAGAGAUGCUUGCACAGGGGCUUAUGCACAGGCCCUGAGGGGUCCACCCCCAUGUCUCAGGGCCUGUGCACACCCUGCGCACAGGCCUCUGUGCAAGCAGAAAUAUUGUUAGAGUAGUGUGUGACUGUGUUUGUGUAACUGUUUGAGGAGCGUGAGGAUUGGUUAUUGGGCUUGGGUUUCUGGGUUAGGGUUAGGCUUAGGAAGCUGGCAGACAAAUUUAUUUUGAAUUUUACUCAGUGUGUUUGAUGGCAAAC